UAAGAUUUCAAAUGUAACUGCGUUGACGGAUUUUAUUUUUAUCAAAUGCACUGUUAUUUUCUUCAUCGUAAUUAUCAUUUUACCGAUUUGACUCUUCAGUAUGAUGAUCAUCUUUACACACAUCGCGAUCAUCAUCAAUUUUGGGGAUAAAACGUAUGUGGUUUAUCCGAACUUUGUACCAUCCGACUAGUAGAAAUCAAUACUAUCGGCCACCUCCUCUAAUCACUGUGGUCGUCGUGUAAAGAUAUUAACAUGUACUAUUGUAGUGUAACUACUAUAGUUAUUAUUAUCGUUUGGUAAGUACAAUUUAAGUACGAUUUUUUCGUUCGUUGACGUUAUUCU